rnacentral:rRNA from 1 species
CUACGGGCUGCUCCAGCAGUGAAUCUUUUGCAAUGCGCGCAAGCGUGACAAAGCAAGCCAAAGUGCUUUCCGCACGGAAAGCUUUUCUUUACUUUAAAAAGGUAGGGGAAUAAGGACUGGGAAAGACUGGUGCCAGCCGCCGCGGUAAUACCAGCAGUCCGAGUUGCAGCCAUCAUUAUUGGGUCUAAAACAUCCGUAGCUUGUUUAAUAAGUUUCUUGUGAAAUCUCAUAUCUCAAAUAUGAGGCGGGCAAGAAAUACUAUUAUGCUAGAGACUGGGAGAUGUAAGGAGUACGUCCGAGGUAAUGGUAAAAUAUGUUAAUCUUGGAUGGACUAACAAUUAGCGAAGGCACCUUACAAGAACAGAUCUGACAGUGAGGGAUGAAGGCUAGGGGCGCAAAACGGAUUAGAUACCCCAGUAGUC